UACGAAGGGUGCAAGCGUUACUCGGAAUUACUGGGCGUAAAGCGUGCGUAGGCGGUUUGUUAAGUCUGAUGUGAAAGCCCUGGGCUCAACCUGGGAAUGGCAUUGGGAUACUGGCAACCUAGAAUGUGGUAGAGGGUGGCGGAAUUCCCGGUGUAGCAGUGAAAUGCGUAGAUAUCGGGAGGAACACCAGUGGCGAAGGCGACUUCCUGGCCUGUUCUUGACGCUGAGGCGCGAAGCUAGGGGAGCAAACGGG
rnacentral:rRNA from 1 species